GAUGAACGCUGGCGGCGUGCCUAAUACAUGCAAGUCGAGCGAACAGACCAGGAGCUUGCUCCUCUGACUUUAUCGCCAGACGGGUGCGUACCACAUGGAUGACCUAACUAUAAGACUGGGAUAACUACGGGAAAUAAGGUCUAAUAACCGAUAAUAUAUUGACCCGGAUGGUUCCAUAGUUAAAGAAGGUUUUUCUUUCGCUAAUAGAUGAAUCCGCGCCUCAUUAGCUAGUUGGUAAGGUAACGGCUUACCAACGCAACGAUGCGUAGCCGCCCCGAGAGCGUGAUUGGCCACACUGGCAGUGAGACACGGUCCAGACUCCUACGGGAGGAAGCAGUAGGGAAUCUUACGCGAUGGGCGAAAGCCUGACGGAGCAACGCCGCGUGAAUGAUGAAGGUCUUCGGAUCGUAAAACUCUGUUGUUAGGAAAGAACAAAUGUGUAAGUAACUAUGCUCAUCUUGACGGUACCGAAUGAAUAAGCCCCGGCUAACUACGUG
rnacentral:rRNA from 1 species